AUAAAGCGCAAAACAUUCCAGCAACGGUAAAACAGAAAACCCCAAAGUAUCCAGAUGGUGAAAUCGUUCGCCAUUUGAAUGGAGAGAGAGACUUCCGGUGGAAUUCCUCUUUAUACCUGCGUCGGUAGUUUUUGCCCUCGAUUUUGCUCAAUCGGUGUACGUCUGGUGCGAAACAUUGCCUCUUGAUUAAUAGUUUUCAAUGGUAGCGAUGAGUUCUAGUAUGAGCUAAGGUCGUGAGAAUCAUUUAAAUUAGACAAGCUCGAGCACGAAGUCAUUUGUCUGCUCGAAUUAAAUAUUAACGGUCCUCAGCUAUCCGGCAGUGAGAAGCACCUCAAAGAUUUCUCACGGCAAGGCAGACCUACUGCGAUCGUUGGCCUCCAAGGCCUGUGCGGUUUAUAUGUAAGUGAAGGUGAUAGGGGGGAAAUUUUAACACUAAUGAUUUGCAAGUAUCUUUAGUUUUGUUUUUUUGUUUUUUUUUUCCUCUAUAUCUUCAAAUAAAUUCGUAUCUGAAACGAAUGCAAUCAUUAUUUUACCUUUUCUUUUCCCCCGAUCUUUCUACUGAAAAUUGAUUCAUAUAAGUUUAUAAUUCUCCACGGGGUUAUCUUGAUUUUGCAGUUUUAAUGCAGAUCCACUUCUAAUUCUUUUCUGGUUUGGCUUAUCCUCUUGGCUAGGAAUAUUCAGCUCAUCUACACCCUUCAAUGAGAACGUAUACGUUGAGUCCAUACGAUUUUGAAUUUUUCUUUGUGAUCCUACCUGGUCCUCAGCUAUCACGCGGUGGGACUCACACCGAGAUUAUUGAACAUCAUGUGCGUGAUUUGGCCACUGUUGUGUAUCCAGUUAAGAGUGUGAAACAACCAUGCUUCAGUGGCUUCCAUCAUGCUUGUUACUGAAAUUGCGUACAACCUUGUAAGUGAAAGUAAUGGGAUGCUUAUUUUGGCAUUAAUGAUUUGCCAUAGUUCCUUUCCUUCGCCACCCCCAACCUGUGUGUUCGUAUGUGAAAUGAAUGCAGCCAUUGUUUUAAUUUUUUUCCCCCGAUCAGUCUGGUGAAGAUUGAUUUAUUGUAUGCUUAUAACUCUCCUCAUGGGAAGAUUCCAAUUGUAAGAGAUCCUUGAUUGACGAAGCCUUACUAGAUACUGAACAGAGAUGAGUUAAGGUCCGAAGUCUAGGACUUCUAAACCAGGAAAAGAAAUCCAAUCUUCCAAUAUUAAGGUAUCUGUU